UGAAGUAUAACCGGUAAUUGGUAGCCGCAAGGACUGUAAAUCCUUUCCCUAUGGGACUGGGGGUUCGAUUCCCUCUACUUCAAC
rnacentral:tRNA from 1 species